rnacentral:lncRNA from 1 species
GUAGACUCCUUAAACCUUUUGACCCAUCCCUGUUUCAGUCCAACACACCUGAUUCAGCUUAUCAAGGUCCUGAUGGGGAAGAUCAAUCAUAGAAUCAGGUGUGUUGGAGCAAAUACCUGCAGACAUCCGGUAACACUUCAGGUGGGUUGACAACCCACACUACAUACGCGUAAUCUCUGAACCCAGAACAAAAUCACGCGUAAACCAACCAGUCACCUGUGAAUGUUUAGGAGACAACACGCCGCACUUGUCUAACGUAACUAGCUAUGUCUAUUAACAGCGUGUCAUCCAGUUCCAUCAGGAAGUAGUCUCCGGACGAGACGCUUUCUCCAAAAAUUAUGCUGCUGGUUUGCAAAUCUAGGACAACGUGAUCUCGAGGAACAAUAAAUCAGCUUUUUUUUAUCCAUGGUGUUUGCAAGUUGUAAAGAGAUGGAUGGUAUCGGGAACACAAUGCAGAAGAAGGCUGCGGAGCUCGAGCGCAUGGCCGAGGUUCUGGUCACCGGAGAGCAGCUGAGGUAGGAGUGGCUGGCUCGAGCUGACAGCUCUGUGUGAUGCUGUUCAAACUGUGUUGCGGCUUUUCAAACAAAGGCGUGAAUUGUAC